GACGAACGCUGGCGGCGUGCUUAACACAUGCAAGUCGAACGGAAAGGCCCUGCUUUUGUGGGUUGCUCGAGUGGCGAACGGGUGAGUAACACGUGAGUAACCUGCCCUUGACUUUGGGAUAACUUCAGGAAACUGGGGCUAAUACCGGAUAGGAGCUCCUGCUGCAUGGUGGGGGUUGGAAAGUUUCGGCGGUUGGGGAUGGACUCGCGGCUUAUCAGCUUGUUGGUGGGGUAGUGGCUUACCAAGGCUUUGACGGGUAGCCGGCCUGAGAGCUUGACCGGCCACAUGGGUACUGAGAUACGGACCAGACGCCGACGGGAGGCAGCAGUGGGGAAUAUUGCACAAUGGGCGGAAGUCUGAUGCAGCAAUGCCGCGUGCGGGAUGACGUCCUUCGGGUUGUAAACCGCUGUCGCCUGUGACGAAGCGUGAGUGACGGUAAUGGGUAAAGAAGCACCGGCUAACUACGUG
rnacentral:rRNA from 1 species